CUUGUACCCCGUCCGUUCGGAAUUACUUGUCGCAGAAAUGGAUGUAUCUAGACGUAUUUUAGUUCCGGAUACAUCCAUUUCCGAGACAAGUAAUUCCGAACGGAGGGAGUAGAUC
rfam:Triticum aestivum genome assembly, contig: Triticum_aestivum_CS42_TGACv1_scaffold_130814_2BL